AACAACAUAGUUUAACUGGUAAAACAAUCGGCUCCAAACCGAUAAAUGUGGGUUCAAGUCCUACUGUUGUUGCCA
rnacentral:tRNA from 1 species